CUGGACUAGACAGAAGACUACAGUUCAAUAAGAAGGAAACACAUUCAUUUUCAGUAUUGUUAAUAAAGAAGCUUACCUAAAAGAAGGAAAUCAAAACAAGGAAAUAAAACCUUCAGCUGCAGCUAAGAAUUUGGAGGUUACUGAAGGAGGUUACUUUUUCAAGAGCAGAAGUAAGGAUUCCACUGAAUUUGCUCACCAAAGAUAAGUCAGCAAAGAAAACUUACUGAAGAAUACAGACAGCAUAUCAGCUCCUGCUUUCCAGACAAACUUCCUGGGUCUUGGGAAGAAGAAAGCCUCAGACUAAGAACUCUCUCUGGACUCAGACAGCCUGAAUUCAAAUCCCAUCUCUAUUCUUACUAGUCAUAUGAACACAGGAGAACCAUAUCCAUUCAGCUCACUUUGGACCACCUGUGGAGCCUGAUAACCAGGGAACAGAGAACCUGUUGAGAUCCAAAUUUGUGUGCCAGAUCACAAACUCAUCUGAAGCAGAUGCCACGUGUUACACUGUUAUGUCUCUCAGAGACUCCAGCACUUUGAAAGUAUUAGGCCUUGCUUAUUGAGAUGAAUAUUUUUUUCUAGGCAUGUCCCAAAGUUCUCAGCAUAGCUACAACCCUGAUUUUCACAGGAUUUUCAUUAAAAUUAGGUUCUAGAGCAUUACUUCCCUAAUGUGCAAUGCAACUUACGUUUAGUUUUCAAAUCAAAAUUAGUUUUGUUUUUCCACUGUCUUUGUCUUUGAAAAUAUUGAACUUGGGAUUUCCAAAAUUAUAAUUAGCAAUUAUUUUUACAUAUCUUUUAUAUACAUAACUUUUACAAUGGCUGCCAUUAUCAUGUAGGUUCUUAGGAAGUGUUUCUGAUCCUUGUAAAUAAAAGUGAAAGAAGAAAUCUUUACUGCUUGCUGACCCAUGUGACUAACCUUGAAAUCAGAGAGGCAGAUUCAUUUAAAACAAACUUGCAAACUGUUAAGCAAAGUACUGAAUCUCUGUGACUUGACCAAAAGUAAUUCAGACUUGACUAUUCCAGGCUCCCUUCUAUCUCUGUAGCAACCCAUGCAUCAUAGACUCCAGUUGCAAUGGAUGGUCAAGGAAUCUGCUGUGCCUUUUGAGUCUCUCCAUUUUAUAUUGCCAAAUUUAUCUUCCUUUAAUACUUCACUUCACAUAAGACACUAAGAUAAACAAGGAUGCAACUCACUUAUAUUUCAAAAUAGUACCUAGUGGUUAAAAGUACUUGUUCUGAAAGCAACUCUAUUUUUCUAGUUCUAACAUGUCUCCAACUAGUUAUCUCACCUUGAGCUUGGCACAUAAUCACUCCAUCUUACUUUUGCAUCUGUGACACAAGAAAAAUACCACCCACCUCAACAUAGAUCUUAUGAAGAUUAAAAUAAGAUUAUGAAAGUAAAAUGCUCAGCACAAUGUCUAAACGAAAAUAAAUGCUCAGCAAGUAGGAGCUACUAUAAUUAUUAUCCAGAUCAAAUAUUUUCUCCUCUAUGAAGCUUUCUUAUUCUUCCCCAGCUGGAAUUACUUAUUUUCUUCCUUGCUUUCUACACCACACUUUAGUCACCACCAUGCUGGCACUUGUCUCACCGCAUUAUAAUUAUUUAUGUGCCUGUGUUCCAUAACCAGAAUAUGGGACUUAAGCUUCUUUAUACCUCCAGCAUAAUUGUUUCAUGUGUGCUUUUAGGUAAUGGAGUAAAAUGGAUGAAUGAGUGAAUGCGACUAUAGUACUAAAUGCUCUUAGAUAAAGAUGUAAUUAUUCUUAAGUGAUAAAAUUAUUCGAACAUGAGUAGUUCAGAUAAUGAGAGACUGUCAUAGAAUUACUUGAUAAAAUCUAGUCAAUAAAAUGGCUUGGCAAUAUAACCUUUAUGAUUUCUUUAAACAAUCAUUCAUUUCUUUCUGAAGAUGAGAAGAGGAGAUUCCUUCUCCCAUCUUUAUAUUUCAACAAUGAUUAGAAAACAAAUUGAUCUCUGGGAUCAGUGCCCAAUACCAUUAAAGUGGUAUACAUCUUACAAUUCUUAAUUAAUUUGUGGCAUACAUAUACCAGUCUCCACAGCCAGCUUCAUCUGCAUACAGCAGCAUAAUCACUUUUUUCCUUAUAGUAAAGACAUAUUAUGAGUCAUCAAAGUCUUCUCCGGGGGUUGUGGUUAUCAUCUGGUAAUCACACCCUUGGGAGGUUAAAAACACUUAUCUUUGGAUCAUGACUUGCAAUGCCCCAGGGGUGUGAUUAUCUCAGGCAACUCACACUUUCUGUCAUGCCUAAUUGCUUAAUUAUUAUAGCUGCAAGUUCACACCACCAUACAGGAACUCAUGUUGUGUCAGCAUUUCCACUAUAAAUUCCUUUUUCAAGAGUCUAUAACUCAGCCAUAAAAAAAAAAAAAAAAAAAACCUAUGGUCCAUUGAAGCACUGCAGUAAGAGUCUUAUUCCAGGAAACAUUUCUGUAAUAGGUUAAUUGUAUCUUAAAAAUUGGGUCCUGAUUCUCAUAGUUAGUUCACCAAAGAAAUAAAUGCUAAUUAAAUGUCUCUAAAUUAUAUAUUUUUCUGUAUGGCUGGGUAAAUAAUGUAAAUCCUAAAGACAUAAAUAUUAUUUUUUAAAUAUAACAAGAAUGGCUCAUACAAUUUCCAGUUUUUUGGAAAUACACUUACACAUAUUUAUAAAAUAUUAUAUAAGUAGAAUGAGCUAAACCAUAGUUAGAGAACAUUGUCAUAUGCAAUCAUGUACUACAUAAUAUUUCAGUCAGUGGACAGCAUGUGGCAGUGGUCACAUAAGAUUAUAACGCAGCUGAAAAAUUCCUGUUGUCUAAUGACAUCAUGGCUGUCAUAACUGUCAUGGCCGUCAUGGCCAUCUGAACAUUGUAGUACAAUGUAUUCCUCAUGUGUUUGUGGUGAUGCUGAUGUAAACAAGCAUCUGCACUGCCAGUUGUAUAAAAGUGUAGCACAUACAAUUAUGUACAUACAAUUAUGCACACACAAUUAUGUACAACACAUAAUAUUUUAUAAUGACAAUAAACAAUUUUGUUACCGGUUUAUGUAUUCACUGUACUAUACCUUUCAUCAUUAUUUUAGAGUGUACUCUUUCUACUUAUAUAUAAAAAAAAGUUAAUUGUAAAACAGCCUCUAGCAGGUCCUUCAGGACAUAUUCCAGAAGAAGGCAUUGUUAUCAUAGGAGAUGACGGUUCCAUGCGUGUUAUUGCCCCUGAAGACCUUCCAGUGGGUCAAGAUAUGGAGGUGAAAGACAGUGAUAUUGAUGAUCCUGACCCUGCGUAGGCCAAGUUUUCUUGACUUCACUUAAUCUGCUGGAAGCUGAUCCUUUUCAUGUCCAUGUUUAAGGAAGCGUUGAAGGUCACGUCACUCAAAGCCAACAUCAGCAGGCAUCCUACCAAGAUAAUCUCUGAAGAGGUCAGAGGUGAGAAUGACACAGAGAAGAGGCAGAUUUUACCAGUCCAGUUCAAGGAAUUUCUCACUCUUUCUUAUAAGGGAACUCUUUUCAAUAGAAAAGGAAAGGUUGCCAGUAAAAAGACAAUGGAAUUCCUUCCAUUUUAUGUAGAUUUAUUUUUUUUCAUGAGAAAAAGGAAUAAAGCAUUUAUUUUCUCAGUGUUUUAAGGGAAG
rnacentral:lncRNA from 1 species